rnacentral:tRNA from 1 species
GCCGGCACCAAACGGGACUUUGGGGUUAGUGAGUGCUAUCCAUAUGGGCCCCUAGAAUCAACGUUCUAUGCCAGUUGCACGCUUAUACUCUCCCGCCUUGUAAGCGGAAGGUCGUCCGUUCGAUUCGGACAGCCGGCACCA